AUUCGUUACUUUAAUAAAAUAUACUGUAUUUUUUUACAUCGAAGAUUGAUUAAUAAAAGGUUUAUACUGCUUGUGGGACAAUAAAACUGAGCUGAUCAUGUACAAUCUAUGUGGUACACUGCAUGCUAUACAUUCAUAUAGAUUAUAGGAGAAACAAGUGUGAAACUUUUGAAAUGUGAAUGAUUUUUUUGGCCGCUCUGACUUCCCUUUCCAAAAUUUAAGGUAGUAAAAUCCAAUUACAUACUGUGGGUUUGCUACACUAAAGUUCAAAACCCAUGCAAUGGAAAACAAAAAUAAUGUCUGACGGGUUUAUAAGUACCAGUUAAAACAUGAACAGCCGAUCUUUAUCUGAUAUAAAAUAAACAUUGUCUAAGCGGAGAAAAUCAAAGCUGAAGUUUAUGUAAAUCAGGACAAAUCUUUAUCCGAUUUACAAACAUUGAUUAGGUAGCUAGCUCAAUACAGUUUUUAAAAAAUGGAAAAUUCACGAUUUAGAUGCGUAUUUUUGGACAAUUGUUACUUGUUGAUAAACAAAAAGUACUUUACUUAUAUAAAACAACAUCUAUAGAGUUUGAAUUUUUGCACAAAAGUUACGUAACUGCCGUUGCUAUGGCAACGAUGACGUUUCAAGAUGGCGGAUAUUUUGGCUUUAAAGUAAUUUAACUCGUAAACGACAUUGGUGACCUCCAAAUUUUAUUUUAAAAAAAUCAUUUCUCUUAGUAUAAUCAAUUAUUUUGACAAUUAAAAAAAAUUCUGUGGAGCCAAAAAAAAUUAUUAUGAAUAAUCACAAUCAAUCAAUCAAUCAAAAACUUUAUUAUUGUGUCAAAUAAAUUCUAGUUU